rnacentral:misc_RNA from 1 species
UGGGCUUGACAUGCACGGGAAAGCCGGUGGAUGAUGUGGAUUAAUUCGAUGCAACGCGAAUAACCUUACCUACCCUUGACAUGUACGGAAGCCCAGCGAGAGCUGGGUGUGCCCGAAAGGGAGCCGUAACACAGGUGCUGCAUGGCUGUCGUCAGCUCGUGUCGUGAGAUGUUGGGUUAAGUCCCGCAACGAGCGCAACCCUUGUCCCUAGUUGCUACGCAAGGGCACUCUAGGGAGACUGCCGGUGACAAACCGGAGGAAGGUGGGGAUGACGUUCCAAGGUUGGUU